GGACGAUUCCAAGGAUCACUGUUGUUGCUAAUUUUUUUUCUUUUAAAAAAUACAGAUAUUUUUAAUAAAAGUAUGUUAAUUAUGUUAACCUGUAAUGGGCUUAUUAUUUCAAAAUCAAUUAACAAUGUAAAUAUUUAAAACUUCUGUGUUAAAAUUUCUAAUAGUAUAAAUAGCAGUAGAUUUAGCCCACUCUAAGGGAGAUGGUUGUGCUUUAGUCAGGAGUAGGCCGAGGCAGCCUUCUGGUGCAGCAUGACUCAGUGGGUUUGGAGGCAGGCACACAACUCCACACAUUAUGUAACCAUGCCAUGUGAGGUGCAUUAGGUGACCACUCAUAUGAGCACGUGCUUGGCUCAAAGCCACUAUUGUCUGUAAAAGGUAAAAUUACCCUGCUGACACUACAUAUGGCUUGCACCCAGAGAGAGAAUAAAGCCAUGUCGAAACCGCCUACUCGAGUGUUUUUCCAGUUACCUGCCACCCACCCACCAACUCCCCUUGGACUUUAGUUUGGGCUAGAACCUGACAAUUGGCAUCACGAACAGGAUCCUAAGCGGCUGCAAGUGAGCAGGUGGUUAGUGGCAGCGCAAGGAGACCACACCCUGACUGAGUGGCUACAGGCAGCCAUAUGAACUGUGUGGAAUAAUGCUGGUGAAAUGCCCAAAACUGUGAGUAAAUGGCAGUCAUAUGCCAAUUUGGUGUAAGUCAUUCGGGAGAUGGGUAUGCGGCAGGCUAUGUUUGUCCUGAAUACCUGAGGGCCAGAUGAUAAAUGUUUCACCUCCCACAUGAGGGAUCUCAUGUUGGGUUUGAUGCUCCUGAGCCCCUUUGGCUCCCUAGCUGCUGUCCUCACCCCAUACGUAGGGCACCGCAUACAUGAAGUAACCACUGCCAUGGCGGCUCUCAGGGAAGCAGAAGGCCUUCAGGGGGAUUGGAGGGUCCACACCAUAAAGAAGGGGAAGUUACCCCACCCACAGGGGGCUCCCCCAUAAAAAAAGGGGGCCCCAACGAGUGACACGCUCACAGAUGUGGAUAGAUUUGAUUUUGGCUGGGGUUGACUGAGAGAAAAUUGAUAAGCAGCCCAAUGAAAUACUCCUAACUUUGCGGAGACAGUUGUAUGCAGGGCAGCAAUUCCGGAAAAUGCCCAAAGGGGAGAAAGGCAUUGCUGUGUGACCUGGUCCUACCCAGCUCAGAGACUACUUGCUGCAGCCAGGUGGAAAUGUAGAGCCUUUUCUGUUCAACUAGGGAACUGGCCAAAGGUGUCUGGCUUGGGGGGACACCAGAUGACCAGAGGCCACAUGUGGAAUUGGCAAUCCACUGGUCCCCCACCAAUGUACAGUGGGUGCUGGUGCUGGUAGAUACUGGCAUAGAUUGUAGCCUUGUUUAUGGGAACCCAGUUAAGUUUUUGGGCAAAUCUGCAUAUAUUAAAGGUUACGGAGGCCAGUCAGUGAAAGUGAAACCUGUAUCUCUGUACCUUGGCAUUGGCCACUUGGCUCCUUGCUUAUACACUGUGUAUGUCUCUCCCAUACCUGAAUACAUUCUGGAGGUGGAUAUUUUACAUGGCUUGGAAGCUGUGCCAUCUAUCAUGGAUUUGAUGAACCACUCGACAAUGGAAUUAGGACAGUACCACUAUGUGGUGGACUUGGCCAAUGCAUUCUUCUCAGUUGACCUUGCUCUAGAGAGCCAGGAACAGUUUGCCUUGAUGACAAUGGACUUUCACAGUGUUGCUGCAGGGCUAUGUGCAUAGCUCCACCAUAUGUCAUGGUCUUGUUGCCAUGGAUUUAACAGCCUGAAAAUGUCCAAAGGGAGUCCACUUGUUCCAUUACGUUGAUGAUAUUAUGUUAACCUCUGAUUCUCUUGCAGAUUUAGAAGCAGUGGCACCCCUCUUGUGGCAACAUUUGGCAGCAUGCAGUUGGGCCAUCAACAAAUCCAAGGUCCGAGGGCCUGGAUUACCUGCUAAAUUCUUGGGAGUUAUCUGGUCGGGGCUGAAGUUCCAGGCUGGACCUGAUGCUCCAAACCUUGAAUGAAUGGCCAUGGAAAAGCAGCCCAGCCCAGGUGGAGGCUUUGUUACAUGGGCCACCACCCCUAUUCAGUUGCAGAUACACACCAAGGGUAACCGCCUCUGACCAGGUUAACAUGCUCCAACUGCAUUGUGGACUGGGCCCACACCUACACUGAAGUGACCAAUGUUUCCAACUGUUGGAUCUGCACCGCCCUUCUAGCAGCUGCAGAUGGCUUGCCUUAGCACAUACAUUCAGCAUCUGCAGAGAACCAGACAUGGCUGGAGACUUGGGGUCCCAUGGCUGAUGCCUGGAACGCAACGUGGCAAGUUUUGGACAAAGGAUGCCACAAGACCCACAGCACAGCCAUUCCCUGGCUGGCCCAUAGCAUUUAUGAUGGGUGGGGCUGGCUAGUGAGGUAACGUGCAGUACCCCUGGCCCAGGCACUGUGGUGCAUAUAGCAACACUGGGGUAAUAGCACUGUGGGAUGGGUACCCGUCACAGUGUGUGUAAGCAUAAUACAUGUCACCACACCAAAGGUAUGGUGGAAGACGCGGCCCCACCAAGGGGCCUCGAUGGACUGUGUGCCCCCUGGGAGUUUAUGGGUCUGUGGGGACACAGGGUGGCCUUACCUAUAAGCAAACUGGACUGGACAUUAUACCUGAGGGUGGCCUCAUGUACCUGCCACUGUUCUCACAUUGCCCAGAUGCCUGCAUAACUGGGAGGUGCUACACUCUCGGUUUUUGCAAGUGUAAUGAGCACCCUGGUGGUUUUACCCCUUGACAGGCACUAGCCCUGGAGUGUGUGUCACAACUGUAGAAGCCAAGUUACUGCUCUUGCAGAGCAUGCUGCUCAGGCUCUGAAUUACACCUGAGUGGCCCUCUUCCCAUUAAUGGAUGAGGUUGAUCAGAUCAGAAAGGUGGUGUUGCGAAACCGAAUGGUCUUAGACAUAGUAACUGCUGCCUAAGGAGGCACCUGUGCCCUUUUAGGAACACAAUGUUGUACCUUUAUCCCUGACAAUUGGCAGAACAUAACAGCAGCCCUGCAAGGGGUCUCACAGGAGAUUAAGGUAGUCAAGAGCCUUACUGAUGACCCCCUGCAGAGAUGGUAGACAUCCCUGGGCUCUGGCCUACGCUGGGCCCUGAUAGUCAUAAGUAGCAUAGCUGGAAUCCUAGUCGUGAGCUGUUGCUCUCCGUAUUGUUGCUGUGGAUUAUGGAUUCAGGGCUCCACCCUACGGGCACAUGUCCCUACCUGGAGGAUGCCCCUGGCCUAGGGGUGGAGUGUAAGGAAGAUGGCUGCGCUUUAGUCAGGAGCAGGCUGAGGCCACUUUUUGGUGCACCAUGACUCAGUGGGUUUGGAGCGUAGGCACACGACUCCGCACAUUAUGAACCAUGCCACUUGAGGUGCAUUAGGUGACCACUCACGUGAGCUCGUGAUUGCUUCAGAGCCUCUAUUGUCUGUAAAAGGUAUAAUUACCCUGCUGACACUGGACAUAUGGCUCGUGCCCAGAGAGAGGAUAAGGCCAUGUUCAAACUGCCUAUGAUUCCUCGGGUGUUUUUUCAGCUACCCCUCACCCACCCACCAACUCCCUUCGGACUUCAGUUUGGGCUAGAACCUUACACCCACAUAAACUAAAGCUGUAUGGGGUCCUCAGUUUUCAAGCACAUAAAAGUAUUCUGUAUCCAAAAAGUUUGUGAACCACUGCCCUAGAGAAACUUUCCAUGGCGUGCAAGAUGUAUGUAAGAAUGCCCAGUAGAGACAUAAUAAGAAACCAGAAAAAGUGGAAAUCUCAAUGCCUGUCAUCAAGAGAGAUAAAUGCAGCGUGGUCUAUUUCUGUUCUCCUCACAUUGCCCAGAUGCCUGCUUAACUGGGAGGCGUUAUGUUCUCAGUUUUUGCAAGUGUCAUAAAGGAGUGAAUGGAGCAUUACCUGUCAUUAUAGACACUGCAAAAUGAGCUAGUAGCAGGAUUUUUACCACAGGUACCCAUAAGCAACAUGUGGCAUGGUUCACCAUGGUUUUACAUUGUUGUGUAAAUAACUUAAAAUUAUGUGAAUAAUGUAAAAGCAUGGUGAACAAUGCCAUGUUUUGCUUAUGGGUACCUGCGGUAAAAAGCAAAAAUCAUGACCCUGAAGGGGUGAGCAGGCCUACAGGUGCUGGGCAGGCACUGUCUUGCAAAGAGCACAAAAUGUGCAGGUCCCUCUGGGAGUGUUAUAGUGGGUAGCUAGUCAGAAAGAGCAGGGCAGGAGAGGGCUCCCCAUACCCCACACACCAGGAGUGUCAGGUGACCAUCAGGUGAUGGUCUGGCGGUUGUUGACUGUCUUUCUAAAGUAAUAAUUGGUCACACCCGGCAACAGGGAAAAGCCGGCUCCUAAUAGAUAGAAAACACUCGAAACUGGUGAGCAGUAGUUUCCCUAUAAGAUCUCAGGAGUUGAGCCAGUGGGCUCAGGCAGGCACAUGGGACAGCCCACCCCAAGGGAAGAACCAGGGGAGAAAUAACGCAAGACCCCGAAAGCAUGCUGACGUAUAAAACCCCAAGUCAAAAGGUCAAACCACGCACUUGCUUUUUAAGUCGUCCACUUGGCCCUCUUCCAAGUGUACUUUCCUUCCUUUUGUUCCUAUUCUAAAGCUUUUAAAUAAACUUUUACUCCUGUGCUAAAA
rnacentral:lncRNA from 1 species